rnacentral:rRNA from 1 species
GUUGAACGCUGGCGGCAGGCCUAACACAUGCAAGUCGAGCGGAUGAAGGAAGCUUGCUCCUGGAUUCAGCGGCGGACGGGUGAGUAAUGCCUAGGAAUCUGCCUGGUAGUGGGGGAUAACGUCCGGAACCGGGCGCUAAUACCGCAUACGUCCUGAGGGAGAAAGUGGGGGAUCUUCGGACCUCACGCUAUCAGCUGAGCCUAGGUCGGAUUAGCUAGUUGGUGGGGUAAAGGCCUACCAAGGCGACGAUCCGUAACUGGUCUGAGAGGAUGAUCAGUCACACUGGAACUGAGAACCGGUCCAGGCUCCUACGGGAGGCAGCAGUGGGGAAUAUUGGACAAUGGGCGAAAGCCUGAUCCAGCCAUGCCGCGUGUGUGAAGAAGGUCUUCGGAUUGUAAAGCACUUUAAGUUGGGAGGAAGGGCAGUAAGUUAAUACCUUGCUGUUUUGACGUUACCAACAGAAUAAGCACCGGCUAACUUCGUG